UACAGAGGGUGCAAGCGUUGUUCGGAAUCAUUGGGCGUAAAGCGCACGUAGGCGGCCUGCUAAGUCGGAUGUGAAAGCCCCGGGCUCAACCCGGGAAGUGCAUUCGAAACUGGUGAGCUUGAGUGUCGGAGAGGGUGGUGGGAUUCCGAGUGUAGAGGUGAAAUUCGUAGAUAUUCGGAGGAACACCAGUGGCGAAGGCGACCACCUGGACGAACACUGACGCUGAGGUGCGAAAGCGUGGGGAGCAAACAGG
rnacentral:rRNA from 1 species